AGUGAACGCUGGCGGCGUGCCUAAUACAUGCAAGUCGAGCGAGCGGCGGACGGGUGAGUAAUGUCUGGGAAACUGCCUGAUGGAGGGGGAUAACUACUGGAAAUGGUAGCUAAUACCGCAUACCAUCAGAUGGGCCCAGAUGGGAUUAGUUAGGCGGUGGGGUAAUGGCUCACCUAGGCGACGAUCCCUAGCUGGUCUGAGAGGAUGACCAGCCACACUGGAACUGAGACACGGUCCAGACUCCUACGGGAGGCAGCAGUGGGGAAUAUUGCACAAUGGGCGCAAGCCUGAUGCAGCCAUGCCGCGUGUGUGAAGAAGGCCUUCGGGUUGUAAAGCACUGUCAGCGAGGAGGCGUUAAUCGCAGAAGAAGCACCGGCUAACUCCGUGCCAGCCGCCGCGGUAAUUC
rnacentral:rRNA from 1 species